CACCUGACCCCAUGCCGAACUCAGAAGUGAAACGCCGUAGCGCCGAUGGUAGUGUGGGGUCUCCCCAUGCGAGAGUAGGGGACUGCCAGGC
rnacentral:rRNA from 1 species